rnacentral:tRNA from 1 species
GGCGCGAUGGCGGAGUGGUUAACGCGAGAGACUAGAAUUAACUAACUCUUUCUAUCUCUUCCCUUCGGGGGCGUAGGUUCGAAUCCUGCUCGCGUCG